UUCUAAAUCGGUGAAGAUGACGACCUGGGGAAAUGACCAGCCCUCUCCUCCACCCGGCAUCUGAGGUCAGAGGCCGAAUCCCUCCGCGGGACGCACCCUGGGUCAGGAAGGUCAGGAAGGGGUAUCAGAACCCGCCCAACCCGGAUCUGAAACGUGCAAACCCUGAGUUCAGCCCGACUCUAGUCUCCUCCAGGCAGCCUGUCUUGGGGACACCCUGAGCUCUCCGAGCCUGGGGGAUCACUGGGGUUCAACUGAAGCUGGAAGCUGUAGAAGCACCUAGGAAGUGACUGGGGUCCGCCUCAGGACUGAUUUCUGGCUUUGCGCUCCAUGACUCCAGAGGAAGCAGAGCUGGAUGAUGGUUGGAAAAUUCAAGAAGACAUCAUGAGGAGGCAUGUCAGAAUGGAAACGUGGAUUAUUUACAAGGAUUCAGGGGCAGUUCUCCAGAUGGAAGGCUGGUGUUAGGAAAGACGCUGAGGUCAGAAUUGUGAAAUGGGAUUGAAGGCACUGACAACUCUGCAGCAGCACAGACUUUGGGGAGAAGACCUCCAGGCCCCGUAACAAAGCAGAAACCCUCAGAACCAGCAUCUCCCUGGCCGGGUUCAAAGCCUGGCCGAAGACCGUUUGGACACCACCAAUUUUGCCUUCACAGCUGCUGCAGUCAACUUUCCGAGGGCCACUUGGCAUCCCAAGCGUGUUCCUGGAGACCCUAGGAGACAGAAGGAAAAGACAGAUGACUGUGAUGGAUAAGGCCCUUGACAGCCAGGGCAGAGAACUGGGGUGGGGGUGGGGGUUCUUGGAGAGCCGAAAUAAAAACUGGUCCUCAGUCUUCCACCCUUUUCUCCAGGAUCUAAUUACAGAUGUCUUGACAUUCCUCCUGCAUAGAGUUUCCUUAAAAGAUUUGCCAAGAAGAAACAUUUGGAAACUGUGUUUUAGGUAUAAUCCGGCCUGGGAGUCACUUUUGCUUGCUUUGUCGUUAGAUGACAGAGCGCUUAAUUACAGCGAGCGGGAUGUGCACCGCAUUCGGAAAACUAGAUUAUUGACCCACAUAAAUACAGCCCACGCUGACAAUAGCCUUUUGGCAAAACGUGCGUCUCAGAUCUCACAUUAAUUACUGCACAAAUAUACUUAUUGUGGGUACCGAGUUUAUGUGACCGAGUCCUCUUGACACAUGUUCACAAUAAAAACACAUUUUUUCCCCCUUCCCCUGACCCUGAGGGGGGGAAAAAAAGAUGAACAUUUUUCAAGAUGCUGUUUUAAUGGCAUGAAAACUGUCUGCUGAGUGUUCGCUCUUUUGUUCUUUUUCUUUUCUCCUUUUAUUAAAAAGCCUUUUAAACCAAGCAUUCCUGGCUUGUAAUUCCUUUCUUUGCUUUCGCUUUUAUGCCGAAGGGGAGACAGAUUAGAUUAGAUUAAAGACCAAGAGACACCUCGUGAAAUACAUUCCAUCUCGAGGCAAUUUGGUCGAUAGUCAAUUUGUAUGUGCGUAUGUGCAUGUGUGCUUGUGUGUGCUUGUGUGUUUCUUCUUGAGGCCAACUGAUGGUCUUUUUACAAAUCAGGGUUCUGUUUCUAGGAAUGCAUUUGUUCCUUUAGCUUUUUCCCCUUCAGAAGUCUGCAGCCUUUGAUGGUGGCCUGACUUUUAGGGGUCUGCAGCCUGUUGUGGGGGGAGCAUUGUAAAUCUUCUUAACCCUUCCCUUUAACUUCUCACAAUUUCUCAAAGCUUUUCCCAAAGCAGCGGCAGUUUUGUCACCAAAAGCAGAUGAAGGAGACAGUCUGUUUCAAAGAGCCUCUGCCACCCCAUCAGGCCCCCAGGUUUGCCUGAUGAUGUCACAGUGGUAACCAAGGCAACACACUGUGACAUCACAAUCAAAAGGCCACUGACCUUGGCCUGGAAUUCAAAGGAAAAGCUGCCCAUAAACUUCUAAAGCAGGCAGAAGAUAAA